GUCCCUGGGAUAGCUCAGUCGGUAGAGCCACGAGACUCUUAAUCUCAGGGUUUGAGCCCCAUGCUGGGCG